AUCUGUGGUCAUAUCUGCCUGAAUACACAUGAUUUCAUCUGAUCUCAGAAGUUCAGCAGGGUCAGGCUUAUUUAAUACUUAAACAGUAGUUU
rnacentral:rRNA from 1 species